UGAGGUUAGCUGCUGGGGAUAUGCCGUC
rnacentral:sRNA from 1 species